UAAUAGAUAUAUUUUUUAUAUUUUUAAGAAUUUAUUAUAAAUUUAUUUUACAUAUUAAUUUUUGUGAAGAACUUUAAUUAUUUUAAAAAUAAUUAAUUAGGGUAUAAUAGUAAUUAAAAUUAAAAAUUUAAGAAAUUAAGAUUUAGUAAUAUUAAAAUUAGUAACUAAUUUUGUGCCAGCAGUUGCGGUUAAACAAAAGUUAAAUUAAAUUAUUUCAGUUAAUAAUUAAUAAUUCAAAUUAAAAUAAAUAUAAAAUUAUUAGGUAAAAUUUUAAUUUAAUUAAAUUUUAUUUAAAAUUUAUGAUUUAAUAAAUUUUGACGUAAACUAGGAUUAGAUACCCUAUUAUUAAAAUUUUAAUUAAAUAUUCUAAAAUAGUAGGUAAUAAAUUAUUGAAACUUAAAUAAUAUGGCGGUAUUUUAGUUCAUUUAGAGGAAUCUGUUUAAUAAUUGAUAGUCCACGAAUAAAUUUACUUAAUUUAUAAUUUUGUAUAUCAUUGUUAAAAAAAUAUUUUUUAAUAAAUUUUAAUAUUUUAAAAUUUAGAAUAAAAAUUAAUUCAGAUCAAGAUGCAGGUUAUAAUUAAGAAUAAAAUGGAUUACAAUAAAGUUAUUUAAAUGAAAAAAAUAUUGUAAAAAAUGAUUGAAGGUGGAUUUAAUUGUAAUUUUAAUUAAUUUAUUAAAAUGAUUAAAAAUUGAAAUAUGUACAUAUUGCCCGUCACUUUCAUUUAAAAAUUGAAAUAAGUCGUAACAAAGUAGAGGUACUGGAAAGUGUUUCUAGAAUGAU
rnacentral:ncRNA from 1 species